GACCUGGAUAACCUUUCCUCUUCACACAGCAGGUGUCUGCUCGAGCCAGCCUGAGUCCUGCCGCCGCCACCGGCGUGAACUAGAUCCACCUUCAUUUUGUGGAUUGUUUUUUAGUUGCUCCUUUUUUCCUUUAUUAAACUUUGUUAAAUGAC